GUACGCUUCUUUUUCACCGGAGCUUGCUCCACCGGAAAAAGAAGAGUGGCGAACGGGUGAGUAACACGUGGGUAACCUGCCCAUCAGAAGGGGAUAACACUUGGAAACAGGUGCUAAUACCGUAUAACAAUCGAAACCGCAUGGUUUUGAUUUGAAAGGCGCUUUCGGGUGUCGCUGAUGGAUGGACCCGCGGUGCAUUAGCUAGUUGGUGAGGUAACGGCUCACCAAGGCCACGAUGCAUAGCCGACCUGAGAGGGUGAUCGGCCACAUUGGGACUGAGACACGGCCCAAACUCCUACGGGAGGCAGCAGUAGGGAAUCUUCGGCAAUGGACGAAAGUCUGACCGAGCAACGCCGCGUGAGUGAAGAAGGUUUUCGGAUCGUAAAACUCUGUUGUUAGAGAAGAACAAGGAUGAGAGUAACUGUUCAUCCCUUGACGGUAUCUAACCAGAAAGCCACGGCUAACUACGUGCCAGCAGCCGCGGUAAUACGUAGGUGGCAAGCGUUGUCCGGAUUUAUUGGGCGUAAAGCGAGCGCAGGCGGUUUCUUAAGUCUGAUGUGAAAGCCCCCGGCUCAACCGGGGAGGGUCAUUGGAAACUGGGAGACUUGAGUGCAGAAGAGGAGAGUGGAAUUCCAUGUGUAGCGGUGAAAUGCGUAGAUAUAUGGAGGAACACCAGUGGCGAAGGCGGCUCUCUGGUCUGUAACUGACGCUGAGGCUCGAAAGCGUGGGGAGCAAACAGGAUUAGAUACCCUGGUAGUCCACGCCGUAAACGAUGAGUGCUAAGUGUUGGAGGGUUUCCGCCCUUCAGUGCUGCAGCUAACGCAUUAAGCACUCCGCCUGGGGAGUACGACCGCAAGGUUGAAACUCAAAGGAAUUGACGGGGGCCCGCACAAGCGGUGGAGCAUGUGGUUUAAUUCGAAGCAACGCGAAGAACCUUACCAGGUCUUGACAUCCUUUGACCACUCUAGAGAUAGAGCUUCCCCUUCGGGGGCAAAGUGACAGGUGGUGCAUGGUUGUCGUCAGCUCGUGUCGUGAGAUGUUGGGUUAAGUCCCGCAACGAGCGCAACCCUUAUUGUUAGUUGCCAUCAUUUAGUUGGGCACUCUAGCAAGACUGCCGGUGACAAACCGGAGGAAGGUGGGGAUGACGUCAAAUCAUCAUGCCCCUUAUGACCUGGGCUACACACGUGCUACAAUGGGAAGUACAACGAGUCGCGAAGUCGCGAGGCUAAGCUAAUCUCUUAAAGCUUCUCUCAGUUCGGAUUGUAGGCUGCAACUCGCCUACAUGAAGCCGGAAUCGCUAGUAAUCGCGGAUCAGCACGCCGCGGUGAAUACGUUCCCGGGCCUUGUACACACCGCCCGUCACACCACGAGAGUUUGUAACACCCGAAGUCGGUGAG
rnacentral:rRNA from 1 species